CAGGCUAACACAUGCAGUCGAACGGUAACAGGGAGCUUGCUCCGCUGACGAGUGGCGAACGGGUGAGUAAUGUAUCGGAACGUACCAUUCAGUGGGGGAUAACGUAGCGAAAGUUACGCUAAUACCGCAUAUUCUGUGCGCAGGAAAGCAGGGGAUCGCAAGACCUUGCGCUGAUUGAGCGGCCGAUAUCAGAUUAGCUAGUUGGUGAGGUAAAAGCACACCAAGGCGACGAUCUGUAGCGGGUCUGAGAGGAUGAUCCGCCACACUGGAACUGAGACACGGUCAGACUCCUACGGGAGGCAGCAGUGGGGAAUUUUGGACAAUGGGGGCAACCCUGAUCCAGCCAUGCCGCGUGAGUGAAGAAGGCCUUCGGGUUGUAAAGCUCUUUCAGCCGGGAAGAAAAUGCAUGGGUUAAUACCCUGUGCAGAUGACGGUACCGGAAUAAGAAGCACCGGCUAACUACGUGCCAGCAGCCGCGGUAAUACGUAGGGUGCGAGCGUUAAUCGGAAUUACUGGGCGUAAAGCGUGCGCAGGCGGUUUUGUAAGACAGGCGUGAAAUCCCCGGGCUUAACCUGGGAACUGCGUUUGUGACUGCAAGGCUAGAGUACGGCAGAGGGGGGUGGAAUUCCACGUGUAGCAGUGAAAUGCGUAGAGAUGUGGAGGAACACCAAUGGCGAAGGCAGCCCCCUGGGUCGAUACUGACGCUCAUGCACGAAAGCGUGGGUAGCAAACAGGAUUAGAUACCCUGGUAGUCCACGCCCUAAACGAUGUCAACUAGGUGUUGGGAGGGUAAAACCUUUUAGUACCGUACGUAACGCGAGAAGUUGACCGCCUGGGGAGUACGGCCGCAAGGUUAAAACUCAAAGGAAUUGACGGGGACCCGCACAAGCGGUGGAUGAUGUGGAUUAAUUCGAUGCAACGCGAAAAACCUUACCUACCCUUGACAUGUCAGGAACUUUCCAGAGAUGGAUUGGUGCCCGAAAGGGAGCCUGAACACAGGUGCUGCAUGGCUGUCGUCAGCUCGUGUCGUGAGAUGUUGGGUUAAGUCCCGCAACGAGCGCAACCCUUGUCGUUAAUUGCCAUCAUUUAGUUGGGCACUUUAACGAGACUGCCGGUGACAAACCGGAGGAAGGUGGGGAUGACGUCAAGUCCUCAUGGCCCUUAUGGGUAGGGCUUCACACGUCAUACAAUGGUCGGUACAAAGGGUCGCCAACCCGCGAGGGGGAGCCAAUCCCAUAAAGCCGAUCGUAGUCCGGAUUGUAGGCUGCAACUCGCCUGCAUGAAGUCGGAAUCGCUAGUAAUCGUGGAUCAGCAUGUCACGGUGAAUACGUUCCCGGGUCUUGUACACACCGCCCGUC
rnacentral:rRNA from 1 species